rnacentral:rRNA from 1 species
AGGUAAGCUACUAAGAGCGAAUGGUGGAUGCCUUGACUGGUAAAGGCGAUGAAGGACGUACUAGACUGCGAUAAGCUACGGGGAGCUGUCAAGAAGCUUUGAUCCGUAGAUUUCCGAAUGGGGCAACCCAAUGUAUAGAGAUAUACAUUACCUAUAUAGGAGCGAACGAGGGGAAUUGAAACAUCUUAGUACCCUCAGGAAAAGAAAUCAAUAGAGAUUGCGUCAGUAGCGGCGAGCGAAAGCGCAAGAGGGCAAACCCAGUGCUUGCACUGGGGGUUGUAGGACUGCAAUGUGCAAGAGGUGAGUUUAGCAGAACAUUCUGGAAAGUAUAGCCAUAGAGGGUGAUAGUCCCGUAUGCGAAAAACAAACCUUAGCUAGCAGUAUCCUGAGUAGGGCGGGACACGAGAAAUCCUGUCUGAAGCUGGGUCGACCACGAUCCAACCCUAAAUACUAAUACCAGAUCGAUAGUGCACAAGUACCGUGAGGGAAAGGUGAAAAGAACUGAGGUGAUCAGAGUGAAAUAGAACCUGAAACCAUUUGCUUACAAUCAUUCAGAGCCCUAUGUAGCAAUACAGGGUGAUGGACUGCCUUUUGCAUAAUGAGCCUGCGAGUUGUGGUGUCUGGCAAGGUUAAGCAAACGCGAAGCCGUAGCGAAAGCGAGUCUGAAUAGGGCGCUUAGUCAGAUGCUGCAGACCCGAAACGAAGUGAUCUAUCCAUGAGCAAGUUGAAGCUAGUGUAAGAACUAGUGGAGGACUGAACCCAUAGGCGUUGAAAAGCCCCGGGAUGACUUGUGGAUAGGGGUGAAAGGCCAAUCAAACUUCGUGAUAGCUGGUUCUCUCCGAAAUAUAUUUAGGUAUAGCGUUGUGUCGUAAUAUAAGGGGGUAGAGCACUGAAUGGGCUAGGGCAUACACCAAUGUACCAAACCCUAUCAAACUCCGAAUACCUUAUAUGUAAUCACAGCAGUCAGGCGGCGAGUGAUAAAAUCCGUCGUCAAGAGGGAAACAACCCAGACUACCAGCUAAGGUCCCUAAAUCUUACUUAAGUGGAAAACGAUGUGAAGUUACUUAAACAACCAGGAGGUUGGCUUAGAAGCAGCCAUCCUUUAAAGAAAGCGUAAUAGCUCACUGGUCUAGUGAUUUUGCGCGGAAAAUAUAACGGGGCUAAAGUAAGUACCGAAGCUGUAGACUUGCGCACAACUUAGAUUAUUUAAGUUUAGAAUAUGAGAAACUAAGUUAUAUGUUUAGUUAUAUUUUUACUGAUUUUUAUAGAGUAAAGAUAGAAAUAAAACUUAGUAAAAUCAGUAAAAAUAUUCUUAGACUAAAGUUAAGUAGUUUAAGUUGUGUGCAAGUGGUAGGAGAGCGUUCUAUUUGCGUCGAAGGUAUACCGGUAAGGAGUGCUGGAGCGAAUAGAAGUGAGCAUGCAGGCAUGAGUAGCGAUAAUUAAUGUGAGAAUCAUUAACGCCGUAAACCCAAGGUUUCCUACGCGAUGCUCGUCAUCGUAGGGUUAGUCGGGUCCUAAGUCGAGUCCGAAAGGGGUAGACGAUGGCAAAUUGGUUAAUAUUCCAAUACCAACAUUAGUGUGCGAUGGAAGGACGCUUAGGGCUAAGGGGGCUAGCGGAUGGAAGUGCUAGUCUAAGGUCGUAGGAGGUUAUACAGGCAAAUCCGUAUAACAAUACUCCGAGAACUGAAAGGCUUUUUGAAGUCUUCGGAUGGAUAGAAGAACCCCUGAUGCCGUCGAGCCAAGAAAAGUUUCUAAGUUUAGCUAAUGUUGCCCGUACCGUAAACCGACACAGGUGGGUGGGAUGAGUAUUCUAAGGCGCGUGGAAGAACUCUCUUUAAGGAACUCUGCAAAAUAGCACCGUAUCUUCGGUAUAAGGUGUGGUUCGCUUCGUAUUAGGAUUUACUCCGAAAGCGAAGAAACUUACAACAAAGAGUCCCUCCCGACUGUUUACCAAAAACACAGCACUCUGCUAACUCGUAAGAGGAUGUAUAGGGUGUGACGCCUGCCCGGUGCUCGAAGG